GGGCGGCAGCAGCAGGGGGCCGGGACUACAAGGGGGCGGCCAUUUUUUUAACUGGAGGAGCCAUCGGAGGAGCCGCCAACGGAGGAGCGAUUAUUAGAAUAAUUACAGCUGCAGUGUGUGGAAAGCGCAGGAGGGGAGUCAGCUACAUAAGCUCACCCCUGUCUCCAUGGUAUAACAGCCUCUUGAGGAGAAGUCAUUCCCGUUUCCAUGGUGCAGCAGCCCUCUUGAGGCAGAGUAAUGGCCAUAACUGUGAUUUGUCGAUGAUUUCUGAAUUCAAGACAAAACAGCAUCAAGGCAAUUAGCAAGACUGCAUUUUGGAAAACAGCAGCAAGCGGAGUUCAGCACAUCUCAGGUCCCGUUAUGCCACAUCACAACUGAAUAAAUUAUCACCGUGCAAAUCAAGAAAAUCAAUAUAUCAGUGCCUGCUUUGGACGAUCAGUUAUGUUUGGAAGAUUCCAUUUUCAAAGGAUGGAAAGAACAGAAUGAAGAAAAGGCAAGAAAACUGGGUGGGCGUGAACUGCAGCAGUGGAAUCACCAAAAAGCAGAUACAGUGAGGCUAUUCUCACAAUCUCCCAAAAGCAGGUUAAGGGAGCACAGCCCAGUUUGGGGAGGUUGUGUGCUGCGAUGGGAGCCGCCCAGCUCCAGGCAGGAAACCUCCCUAAAUACCCCUCCCCUUAAAUGAGGUUAGCGGAGUGAGCACUCUACUAACCCUGUUCUUUUGGUCAUGAGUUGGCACGGCUCCACGGCAUGGCGGCUCCGCAGUGCAGUGACUCCAACAAGCCUCCCAGCGUUGAGGGGCUCACCAGCAUGCCCCGCAUUCUUGCGUGGAGCAUGCUGGGACUUCCAGGUGGUGGCAGGCCCCCGAUCCCCACUGCCCCUACUGGCUCCAUGAUGGUAGGUGACUGAUCCGGCCGCUCAGGGCGUGCUGAGUGCUCGUGUGCAGGGAGAGUGGAUCCAGCCUGCUCUCCCCACCUAACCCCAUCCGGGUCUCCACAGUGCUUGUGUGGAGAGCCUCAGUAUAUGAGGGGAUGACAAGGAGUUGUCCAGGCAAAACACUGUAGCCCCUAAAUGCCAGAUGCCAUUCCAAGGUCUCCCUCAUAUAUUUUCCAUACAUUUUUAAGAUUACCCGAAGCCAUGAGGAUUAACAGUUUGCUUAAAAUAAGAAAAUUCUGUUUCUCAGGAUGUUGAAAUCUUUGACAAAUACCAGAUUUCACAUUUACAGAAUAUGCACAGAUUAAAGGAGAUACAUUUUCCUGGAAUGGUUGUCUGCCAGCCUUCCAUCAUGUCCCUUAAGUUAAAACUGCCAGGUUCUCAUCUGGAGACAGUCUCUCUUUGCUUUUAAAUGCUCCAUAGUUCACAAUACUGAGAUGAAAUACAGACUAUGCCUCCCACUCCAACUCACCUGCUGUGCGGGAAGAUUAGUGUACUGCUAAGUGUUUUUGGUUAAUCCAUUCCUUGAUCCAGGCCAGCUUUUGAAUGGGGCUUUAGUUACUUGUUUUCCAGUUUCCAGAGUAGAGGCGGGGCUAGCAAACAGCCAGCAGCAGGAGCAUGGGAAAGCAGUCUGCACUCACCUCUCUCUGUACAUAAUAUGCGUCUCAUUAAACUGUUAAUAUUUCUGA